rnacentral:rRNA from 1 species
UACGUAGGGUGCGAGCGUUGUCCGGAAUUAUUGGGCGUAAAGAGCUCGUAGGCGGUUUGUCACGUCUGCUGUGAAAUCCCGAGGCUCAACCUCGGGCCUGCAGUGGGUACGGGCAGACUGGAGUGCGGUAGGGGAGAAUGGAAUUCCUGGUGUAGCGGUGGAAUGCGCAGAUAUCAGGAGGAACGCCGAUGGCGAAGGCAGUUCUCUGGGCCGUAACUGACGCUGAGGAGCGAAAGCGUGGGGAGCGAACAGG